rnacentral:rRNA from 1 species
GACGAACGCUGGCGGUGUGCUUCACACAUGCAAGUCGAACGAGGUAGCAAUACCUAGUGGCGGACGGGUGAGUAAACGCGUGGGAAUCUGCCUUUAGAUGGGGGAUAACGGGUCGAAAGACUCGCUAAUACCGCAUAUGACGAAAGUUGAAAGGAGUAAUCCGUCUAAAGAUGAGCCCGCGUCCGAUUAGCUAGUUGGUAGAGUAAAAGCCUACCAAGGCGACGAUCGGUAGCUGGUCUGAGAGGAUGAUCAGCCACAAUGGGACUAGAGACACGGCCCAUACUCCUACGGAGGCAGCAGUGGGAAUUUACGCAAUGGGCGAAAGCCUGACGUAGCGACACCGCGUGAGCGAAGAAGCCCUGGGUGUAAAGCUCUGUCAGCUGGACGAAAAAAAUGACGGUACCAGCAGAGGAAGCAUCGGCUAACUACGUGCCAGCAGCCGCGGUAAU